AGGACGAACGCUGGCGGCGUGCUUAACACAUGCAAGUCGAGCGGAAAGGCUCCUUCGGGGGUACUCGAGCGGCGAACGGGUGAGUAACACGUGAGUAAUCUGCCCUUCACUUUGGGAUAACUGCCUGAAAGGGUGGCUAAUACCGGGUAUUCUCCUUGCACCGCAUGGUGUGGGGUGGGAAGUUUUUCGGUGGGGGAUGUGCUCGCGGCCUAUCAGCUUGUUGGUGGGGUAAUGGCCUACCAAGGCUUUGACGGGUAGCCGGCCUGAGAGGGUGACCGGCCACACUGGGACUGAGACACGGCCCAGACUCCUACGGGAGGCAGCAGUGGGGAAUAUUGGACAAUGGGCGGAAGCCUGAUCCAGCAACGCCGCGUGAGGGAUGACGGCCUUCGGGUUGUAAACCCCUUUCAGCAGGGACGAAGCGAAGUGACGGUACCUGCAGAAGAAGCGCCGGCUAACUACGCGCCAGCAGCCGC
rnacentral:rRNA from 1 species